GACGAACGCUGGCGGCGUGCCUAAUACAUGCAAGUCGAGCGAAGCGGCGGACGGGUGAGUAUCACGUAAGGAACCUGCCCUCAACUGUGGGAUAAGCCUGGGAAACUGGGUCUAAUACGGCAUAGUUGGGGAUGGGCUCCCGGCCUAUCAGCUUGUUGGUGGGGUGAUGGCCUACCAAGGCGGUGACGGGUAGCCGGCCUGAGAGGGUGGUCGGCCACAUUUGGAUUGAGUUACGGUCGAGACACCUGCUGGAGGCAGCAGUGGGGGAUUUUGCGCAGUGGGAGCAAGCCUGUGGCAGCGACGCUGCGUGAGGGAUGAAGGCUUUCGAGUUGUAAUCCUCUUUCGGUACAGGACCGUUAUGUGCAGAAGAAGCGCCGGCUAACUACGUGCCAGCAGCCGCGGUAAUAC
rnacentral:rRNA from 1 species